CCAGUAUCACGCUAAAGCGUGUAAUAGACACGCUGGUCCACUAGAGGAUGCGUGUCAAUGUCACGCUUUGCCUCCUCAAGGCGUGAAAAUGACACGCAUUUAUGAGGAUGAUAACCAAUAGGGGGCGAUAAUUUCUUAUUGCCAACAACUUCAACAAGAGAAGCGACGCAGUGAUAUGCGUUCUCUGGAGCUCCAUGGGUCCGGUCAGUACCCACCACCCUUCCCUGUUAACAUCACCCACAGUUUAUAGUUUUUCUUAGAUAACCAACGGCUCUUUUAAGAGCCACUUCAAUAGACCCUUUUACAGCCCACGUGAUCAAAUAGCCUGCAUGCGCAUUUUGGCAACGGAAGUGAUGUUAUCUCCCAGUGGUUCUAACGUGUAAGCAACUCAGAAAGUUUAUUAAAACGAUUUCCCCACAUCAAAACGUCUGGUUGUAGCAUUUGGUUGCACUAAUAUAAUAUACGUUUAGUAUUUGGCCAUCUUCUAACGUCUUCUAUCCACUCCACUAUAGUACACGGAUCUGGUAACUGUGUAGAAGAUAAGUCAACUUUUUAAACUAACUUUCUCUGUCUGUGUUGCUUCACUGCUGAUUCUUGCCAUGCUUCCGUUGCCAAACUGCGUGCGCAUACGUUGCCACGUCAUCAUUGUGUACAAACAGUAAAAGGGUCACUCACUAACUGCUCAAGAGUUGGCUGUAUUUCAAUAUUACCAUACAAGGCACACUUUCUUUUAUGCAAGGCAGAGGAACCCAAGGGCAAAGCAACAGCCAUUAAAGGGAGUACAUUUAAUGUCAGAUAGGUGGAGAAAAUGCUGAAGGAGGUCCACUACUAAAAAGAAGCAGAAGUGAAGAGAUACAAAGCUUCAGCUACAGUCUGUUUAUUGCCUACAGUGAGACCUCCACAUUUCUGCACUUGUGAUCAUGCAAACAUCCAGUGUAGAGCACUUCACCUGCCCGGCAUGUACACCCAACAAUGCUCGCUCUUUGUGCAGAUGGCAACAGAAAAACCUACAGAUUCCGUCUGUCAAAAGAAAGGAGCUUCAAGCAGCCACAAACGGAGAGUUCUUUUGAACAGAUACUGCUUGCAAGUAUUGGGCAUACCUUGAGAAGGCGUCAGUCUCCAUGUUGGAACUCAGACCUUUACUGCAGAUGAGACCUUUCCUUUCUGUCAUGCAUGCCAAGGCUCAUUCAACCAAGUGUCAGGUGUCACACAUUUGUUAGAUAAUCUGGCAAAAAUCAGGAAGGUGCUGGUACAACUGCAGUUGAGGAGGUCGAAAUGGUCAACAGCUACCUGUCUCGUUGUGGCCUCACAACCAACCAGGAAUGACAUGCUAACUGUCCAUGCUAUUGGGUGGAACCAACGGAAGCAAGAAGGCCUUCAGCAUUAUCCAGCAGAUACAUCAAGAAAGGCUGAGUCUCAGAGACGGGAAGAUUUGAGCAGUGAACUGGGGUGUCCUGAGAACAUUGUGAAUCAGUGGGUACAAGAUGUCAGACAAAAGGCUACUGAUGGAUUUGGUAGGUACCAGAUGUGAUGACCUACAUAACCUUCAGAAAUUAAUUGAACAAAUGUUUCUUAGUCUUCAUCGAAAAGCCAGCCUUUAUAAUCACACUGAAUCCAGCAACACCCUCACCAAGAAGAUUUUUUUGAUGUAUACAUGUCAAAAGUGCGCCUUCAAGAAGCAAAGAUCAUUGUGAUGAGGGAGAUGAGACACCACUGCACUGCACCUAUCUCAGAAGCCUGGCUAGGAACAUCAGGAAAAUGAUAUCAGAAAUGUCUUCAGGCAAAAACAGUGGCAGUAUAAGUGAAGAGUGUCAUCGCUGGCUACUGUGUCGUCUUCAGAAAAGGCUUGCAGAUGUAGAGAAGAAGUUCCAAGUUUGCUCAAGUUACAGCCAGGCUUUAGAACAGUGUUCUUCACUCCCAACCCCGGAGCGCCGGUGUCCUGCAGAC